GUCCAGCUGACGAGUCCCAAAUAGGACGAAACGCGCGUCAACCUGGAU
rnacentral:hammerhead_ribozyme from 1 species